rnacentral:rRNA from 1 species
GACAGAGGCCCCAAGCGUUAGGCGGAAUCACUGGGCUUAAAGCGUGUGUAGGCGGACGCCUAAGUGUCUUGUGAAAUCCCACGGCUCACCCGUGGAACUGCUGGGCAUACUGGGCGUCUUGGGCCAACUGGGGGCAGCCGGAACAAGCGGUGGAGCGGUGAAAUGCGUAGAUAUCGCUUGGAACGCCGAAGGUGAAAACAGGCUGCUGGGGUUGUGCCGACGCUGAGACACGAAAGCCAGGGGAGCAAACGGG